rnacentral:misc_RNA from 1 species
ACAAUGAAAUCUCCACGAGUUUGUACAUAAAGAGCAAGUAUAUGCCCAUGAUGUCCACAUUCAGACUGAAGCUCAUGGGAACCGUCAUCUCGAAGCAUCCACUUGUAUAACUGGAUUUUCUGAUUGAUAGCAGCUAGCAGUUUGCCAUUGAAAGCAUUCAGUGAGUAAACAGCACCCUUCGUUUCCUUCUCUGUAAUAAGCUGCAACUUCCCUUCUUCAACCAUGAAAACCAAUAUUCGGCCCUUAGUAGGUUCAUUUUCCUCUGGCAAAACAUAAGCAGUUCCAACACAAUAGUACACGUUAAUAUCAUCAGAAAAGGAACAGCUAAGUAUAGAGCAGCCAUACUCAAAUGGGUCAAGUUGGUAAGUUGAUAUGAAUUCAAAGCUUUGGUCAUCCAACAAACGGAUAAAAUGUGUUUCAGUUUCUUCUGCACUCGAUUGGUUUUUCAAACUACAAAUGGCAAAGGUUCGAGACUGCUCCUGAUGACAGAUACGCCGUGCGUGUUCCCCCAAUGGAAUAGUGCGGAUGUGAAGCUUUUGUAUAUCAUCAAUGGUGCCAAUAGUGAGUUCACCUUCUUUUGCAAUUGCAAGGCU